rnacentral:rRNA from 1 species
UACGUAGGUGGCAAGCGUUACUCGGAAUCACUAGGCGUAAAGCGCAGGUAGGAGGUUUGGUAAGUCUAUUGUGAAAGCUCCCGGCUUAACUGGGAGAGGUCAAUGGAAACUACCAGGCUGGAGUGCGGUAGAGGUAGCUGGAAUUCCCGGUGUAGCGGUGAAAUGCGUAGAUAUCGGGAGGAAUACCUAUGGCGAAAGCAGGCUACUGGACCAUCACUGACGCUGAUCUGCGAAAGCUAGGGUAGCAAACGGG